CCCGCCGCCCGCACCACCCCGCCGCCCGCAAAGCAUGAGCGAGCCUGCUCUCCGCAGCUGCCCAGGGCGCGAAUGGCAGGCGGUCUCCGCGGAGUAAAAGGUGGCGCCGGUCAGUGGUCGUUUCCAAUGACGGACAUUAACCAGACUGUCAAAUCCUGGGGAGUCGCGAGCCCCGAGUUUGGAGUUUUUUUUUUUCCCCCCACAACGUCACAGUCCGAACUGCAGAGGAAAAGGACGGCGGCAGGAAGGCGAAGCCCGGGCUCCGGCACGUAGUUGGGAAACUUGCAGGUCCUAGAAGUCGCCUCCCCGCCUCGCCGGCCGCCCUUGCAGCCCAGAGCCGAGCAGCAAAGUGAGACAUUGUGCGCCUGCCAGAUCCGCCGGCCGCGGACCCGGGCUGCCUCGGAAACACAGAGGGGUCUUCUCUCGCCCUGCAUAUAAUUAGCCUGCACACAAAGGGAGCAGCUGAAUGGAGGUUGUCACUCUCUGGAAAAGGGUGGGUAAGACACUUUUUAAUUAAAUUCUUUCCCGAAGAUUUUUUUUUUCCUCCCUUUUCUUUGCUGCAGCAUCUAACAUGGACCAAAUCACCAUCUCUUUGAUCUUUCCGUGGCUGUGAACUUUCUAUGCCGCCCAGCUUUCUGCAUGCUUAGAGGUGAACGUGUGGUUUUUGGGGAGGGGGGUCCUUCUUUAUUUCUAUAUAUUUAUUUGAUUUUUGCCCUUUUCUCCCCCUCCCCCCGCUCCCCCUCCCUCGGAAUAAAAUAUGAUGUAGAUUUCUGACCGAGCGCUUCCAAUGGACAUUCUCCAGUCUCUCUGGAAAGAUUCUCGCUAAUGGAUUUCCUGCUGCUCGGUCUCUGUCUAUACUGGCUGCUGAGGAGGCCCUCGGGGGUGGUCUUGUGUCUGCUGGGGGCCUGCUUUCAGAUGCUGCCCGCCGCCCCCAGCGGGUGCCCGCAGCUGUGCCGGUGUGAGGGGCGGCUGCUGUACUGCGAGGCGCUCAACCUCACCGAGGCGCCCCACAACCUGUCCGGCCUGCUGGGCUUGUCCCUGCGUUACAACAGCCUCUCGGAGCUGCGCGCCGGCCAGUUCACGGGGUUAAUGCAGCUCACGUGGCUCUAUCUGGAUCACAAUCACAUCUGCUCGGUGCAGGGGGACGCCUUUCAGAAACUGCGCCGAGUUAAGGAACUCACGCUGAGUUCCAACCAGAUCACCCAACUGGCCAACACCACCUUCCGGCCCAUGCCCAACCUGCGCAGCGUGGACCUCUCGUACAACAAACUGCAGGCACUCGCGCCCGACCUCUUCCAUGGGCUGCGGAAGCUCACUACGCUGCACAUGCGGGCCAAUGCCAUCCAGUUCGUGCCCGUGCGCAUCUUCCAGGACUGCCGCAGCCUCAAGUUUCUCGACAUAGGAUACAAUCAGCUUAAGAGUCUGGCGCGCAACUCUUUUGCCGGCUUGUUCAAGCUCACGGAGCUGCACCUGGAGCACAAUGAUUUGGUCAAGGUGAACUUCGCCCACUUCCCGCGCCUCAUCUCUCUGAACUCGCUCUGCCUGAGGAGGAACAAGGUGGCCAUUGUGGUCAGCUCGCUGGACUGGGUUUGGAACCUGGAGAAAAUGGACCUGUCUGGCAAUGAGAUCGAGUACAUGGAGCCCCAUGUGUUCGAGACAGUACCGCACCUGCAGUCCCUGCAGCUGGACUCCAACCGCCUCACAUACAUCGAGCCCCGUAUUCUCAACUCCUGGAAGUCACUUACAAGCAUUACUCUGGCGGGGAACCUGUGGGACUGCGGGCGCAACGUCUGUGCCCUGGCUUCCUGGCUGAGCAACUUCCAGGGGCGCUACGACGGCAACUUACAGUGCGCCAGCCCGGAGUACGCACAGGGCGAGGAUGUCCUAGAUGCCGUGUACGCCUUCCACCUGUGCGAGGAUGGGGCCGAGCCCACCAGCGGUCACCUCCUCUCGGCAGUCACCAAUCGCAGUGACCUGGGACUCCCUGACAGCUCGGCCACCACGCUCGUGGACGACGGGGAGGGGCAGCGCGACGGCACGCCCGAGCCAGCCACCGUGGCUCUCCCUGGCGAGCACGCUGAGAAUGCCGUGCAGAUCCACAAAGUGGUCACCGGCACCAUGGCCCUCAUCUUCUCCUUUCUCAUCGUGGUCUUGGUGCUCUACGUGUCCUGGAAGUGUUUCCCAGCCAGCCUCAGGCAGCUCAGACAGUGCUUUGUCACGCAGCGCAGGAAGCAAAAGCAGAAACAGACCAUGCAUCAGAUGGCUGCCAUGUCUGCCCAGGAAUACUACGUUGAUUACAAACCUAACCACAUUGAGGGAGCCCUGGUGAUCAUCAACGAGUAUGGCUCUUGUACCUGCCACCAGCAGCCCGCGAGGGAAUGCGAGGUGUGAUCCUCCCAGUGGCUCUCAACCCAUGCGCUACCAAAAACGCCUGGGCAGCCGGUCGGGCCGGCGGGCACCAGGCUGGGGUCUCCUUGUCUGUGCUCUGAUUUGCUCCUUGACUGAAACUGUAAGGGGAUCUCUCCCAGAGACUUGACAUUUUAGCUUUAUUGUGUCUUAAAAACAAAAACGAAAUAAAACACAACAAAACCCCACCCCACAACCUUCUGGACAGUCUAUCUUAAAUUUCAUAUGAAAACUCCUUCCUCCCUUUGAAGAUCUGUCCAUAUUCAGGAAUCUGAGAGUGUAAAAAGAUUCAAUACCCCUGUCUUCUUUUUCUGAGCGUACCUCUCCCCAACAGCAUAUACCUGCUUGAUCUUCUGAGAACUUAAACAGAGACUCCGGGAAGAAAGUGGAAGCAGAAGUCCAGCUUGGUUCAUUGAGAAUCACCCGUACACCAUAUCCUUGCCACUGAGAGUGCACCAUUCACUUUUCUGAGCCUUCAAGCACUCUCUUCCCCUAUGGUCCUGUAUCUGUCAGCCUGUGAGACAACAUUCUUGGAUCCCACGGCCAAGCAGCCCUGAACUCCAGCACAAUUCAGCCACACAUGGAGCAUCAAGCAGACUGCUGGGCUCCACCUGCUUCUCCAGGGUCACCAACCCAAAGGAUGAAGCAGAUGUAAGACAGGGAAGGCACCUGUCUUUGUUUUCAUUUUCUACCAGGCCCAGCUCUUUGGGAAAAAAAAAAAAAGAAGAUUCGUGCUCCAAGCUGGUGCUGCCAAGCUUCCUCCUCUGCCUUCCUUGUCCAAGCACUCCACCGUCUGUGCAGACUGCAUAACAGCAAUUUCUGGAAACUGGCUGCAGAAUCUGGGCCAGUCCAGAGGCAAUGAAUCCUGGUAUCUGUGUGGUGGGGUUUUAAGGAUUGUAUUUUUCACCUUAAUUCUUUUAACUACUGCCAGGUCUUUGAAGCACAUCUGUCACCAACAGCUUCUAUUUGUAAAAUGAGACUGAAGCUAUCGUCUCCAGAGAAAUUUCGGAAUCUUCUCUUGUAGUUCAAUGCUUUUUCACUAACAGCUUGGCUCACAAAGUACGACUGCGGUAAAUAUUAAAGAAUGUUAAUAAAAAUGAGAUAAAACACCCAGGGAUCUCUUUUUUCCCCCCCAAAUUCUGCUUUGCUCACUACAAAAGUUUAUCUUGACAGGAAAUUUACUUCUGUGAUCCACAUCAUUUCCCAAAGCAAUUUUCCAACAGCAAACAUAAAUUUGUGGAGAUCGCUAAGAGGUUUUUCAAUCCCUGUGCGAAGGAGGUCAUGGGGUUUCCACUGUUUGUCUCACCUUCAGGUAAAUGUCCCAUACUUGGGACACUCUCACAGGGGAACCCUGAGCAGCCACUAAAGGUCAAGGCCUGGAAGUGUGUUUUUGCAUUUCUAACAUAAACAGAGUUAGCAGGGGGAAAUGAUUUGAGCAUCAAGAUUAAAUCUUGGGAUGGUAAUUAAGUCAUUAACUAAGAAAAUAAUUGCCUAAGCCCACAGAUCUGCACUCUCCAAUGGGAUGAAGCACUAAGUAAAUGUAAUGGCUUUACAUUGCAGUGACCUUUAAGCUGGUUAAUACAUACAUUUAUACUCUACCAGAAGUGCAAAUUAAGUACUUAUCAUGAGAUAAAAUUUGUGUUCUCCU